GGCGGCGAGUGGCGAACGGGUGAGUAAUGUAUCGGAACGCUGCCCAGUAGCGGGGGACAACCACUCGAAAGAGUGGCUAAUACCGCAUACGCCCUACGGGGGAAAGGGGGGGAUCGCAAGACCUCUCACUAUUGGAGCGGCCGAUAUCGGAUUAGCUAGUUGGUGGGGUAAAGGCCUACCAAGGCGACGAUCCGUAGCUGGUUUGAGAGGACGACCAGCCACACUGGGACUGAGACACGGCCCAGACUCCUACGGGAGGCAGCAGUGGGGAAUUUUGGACAAUGGGGGAAACCCUGAUCCAGCCAUUCCGCGUGUGCGAUGAAGGCCUUCGGGUUGUAAAGCACUUUUGGCAGGAAAGAAAUCGCAUGGAUUAAUACUCUGUGCGGAUGACGGUACCUGCAGAAUAAGCACCGGCUAACUACGUGCCAGCAGCCGCGGUAAUACGUAGGGUGCAAGCGUUAAUCGGAAUUACUGGGCGUAAAGCGUGCGCAGGCGGUUCGGAAAGAAGGAUGUGAAAUCCCAGGGCUUAACCUUGGAACUGCAUUCUUAACUACCGGGCUAGAGUGUGUCAGAGGGAGGUGGAAUUCCGCGUGUAGCAGUG
rnacentral:rRNA from 1 species